rnacentral:rRNA from 1 species
UACGUAGGGCGCAAGCGUUGUCCGGAAUUAUUGGGCGUAAAGAGCUCGUAGGCGGCUUGUCACGUCGGGUGUGAAAAGCCCCGGGGGCUUAACCCCGGGUCUGCAUUCGAUACGGGGCAGGCUAGAGUGUGGUAGGGGGAGAUCGGAAUUCCUGGUGUAGCGGUGAAAUGCGCAGAUAUCAGGAGGAACACCGGUGGCGAAGGCGGAUCUCUGGGCCAUUACUGACGCUGAGGAGCGAAAGCGUGGGGGAGCGAACAGG